CCUACGGGAGGCUGCAGUGGGGAAUAUUGCACAAUGGGCGAAACCCUGAUGCAGCGACGCCGCGUGAGUGAAGAAGUCUCUCGGUACGUAAAGCUCUAUCAGCAGGGAAGAAAAUGCCUGUAACUGACUGAGAAGCUACGGCUAACAACGGGCUAGCCGCCGCGGUAAUACGCAGGGGGAGAGCCCUCUCCGGUGUGACUGGGUGUAACGGGCGCGUAGGCGGCUGCACAAGUCAAGAGUGAAAUCCCGGGGCUUAACCUUGGUACGGCUUUGGAUACUAGGCGGCUGGAGUGCAGGAGGGGUUAGCGGAAUUCCUGGUGUAGCGGUGAAAUGCGUAGAUAUUAGGAGGAACACCGGUAGCGAAGGCGGCUAACUGGACUGUAACUGACGUUGAGGCUCGAAAGCGUGGGGAGCAAACAGGAUUAGAUACCCUUGUAGUC
rnacentral:rRNA from 1 species